UACAGAGGGUGCAAGCGUUAAUCGGAAUUACUGGGCGUAAAGCGCACGUAGGCGGUUAGUUAAGUUGGAUGUGAAAGCCCCGGGCUCAACCUGGGAAUUGCAUUUGAAACUGGGAAACUAGAGUGUGUGAGAGGGGGGUAGAAUUCCAAGUGUAGCGGUGAAAUGCGUAGAGAUUUGGAGGAAUACCAGUGGCGAAGGCGGCCCCCUGGCACAACACUGACGCUCAGGUGCGAAAGCGUGGGGAGCAAACAGG
rnacentral:rRNA from 1 species